GGGCGGGUAGCUCAGUUGGUUAGAGCACUUGCCUUACAAGCAAGGGGUCACAGGUUCGAGUCCUGUUCCGCCCA
rnacentral:tRNA from 1 species